rnacentral:rRNA from 1 species
ACUCCUACGGGAGGCAGCAGUGGGGAAUAUUGCACAAUGGGCAGCAAGCCUGAUGCAGCCAUGCCGCGUGUAUCGAAGAAUGGGCCUUCGGGUUGAUAAAGUACUUUCAGCAGUGAGGAGUGGAUAUGUUAAUAGCAUACUCAUUUGACGUUAGCUGCAGAAGAAGCACCGGCUAACUCCGUGCCAGCAGCCGCGGUAAUACGGAGGGUGCGAGCGUUAAUCGGAAUUACUGGGCGUAAAGCGCAUGCAGGUGGUUUGUUAAGUCAGAUGUGAAAGCCCGGGGCUCAACCUCGGAAUUGCAUUUGAAACUGGCAAACUAGAGUACUGUAGAGGGGGGUAGAAUUUCAGGUGUAGCGGUGAAAUGCGUAGAGAUCUGAA